UGCCUCAGAGGGCACAAGGAGCUAAAGGCUGAACUCCUCACGAAAGCAACUCAGACAAUGGAGGGUUAGCUCCCCUGCAACCUGGCAAAUCCACACUGUAAAUUAGGUCAAGUUUAUUGAGGUACAAUGUUCAUAUGAUUAAAUCCACCCUUUUAAAGUAUAUGGUUCAAGUCCAGGCACAGUGGCUCACACCUGUAAUCCCAGGACUCUGGUUUGAGACCAGCUUGGGCAACAUAGUGAGACCCCCAUCUCUACAAAAAAACAAAACCAAAAAAUACAAAAAUUAGCUGCACAUGGUGGUGCGUGCCUGUAGUCCCAGCUACUCGGGAAGCUGAGAUGGGAGGAUUGCUUGAGGCUGAGAGGCAGAAGUUACAGUGAGCAGAGAUCGAGACACUGCACUCCAGUGU
rnacentral:lncRNA from 1 species